UAAGUAAAAAAGUACAUCAGUAGUGCAUUGAUCGAACUAGUAAUAAAUACAUGGGAUAUAUGGAAUGACGAAAAGGAAAUGCUAUGAGACCUUGAAAUCUGGAGAUCCAAAAUACAAGAUAAGGUAGUGCCAUUCUGCAAUGUCAAGGUCUUCUGUCUUGUGUUUCAUUCUUGCUGCGUAACUGUCAUAUGCCUUCUAUGUGGCACUGAGUGAUGAUCUCCAUCCUAUGUAUCGCGCCAUCGCGAUGGCCCAAAUCUUUUCCUUUUCAUCAUCAACGUCUAC
rnacentral:lncRNA from 1 species